UGGUCACCAGCUGGUGUACAGGCUGGCCCUUCAGGAUCAAUGCGAGGACUCGUCGGUCACUGGAGUCUUACAGGAAUCAGUCUCAUGCUCUCCACUCCUCCAUGACCACCACAGCAGCUGCUCAGGAUACGGCCUGGCUCAGGAUUUUAGAAACCUUGGGAUUAAUAAAAAAAAAAGACUAACAUACACUCAGCACCACCUUCAAGAUGGGCAGUUUCCAGUGGCACCACGUGGAGGAACGGACUUCGCCACCUAUAUAUACAGGCUUUUCUGGCUGAGGUGGAACAGCGCCCUCUGUCUGACAGGUUGCACCUUGAGCAACAUCCUCU